GGGGAAUUUUCCGCAAUGGGCGAAAGCCUGACGACGCAACGCCGCGUGGAGGACGAAGACCUUCGGGUUGUAAACUCCUGUCGAGCGGGAAGAAUUGCCCGCGGGCCAAUACCCCGCGGGUUUGACGGUACCGCUAGAGGAAGCCCCGGCUAACUCCGUGCCAGCAGCCGCGGUAAUACGGGGGGGGCAAGCGUUGUUCGGAUUUACUGGGCGUAAAGGGCUCGUAGGCUGCCGUUCAAGUCGGUUGUGAAAUCCCCGGGCUCAACUCGGGAACUGCAGCCGAAACUGAACGGCUUGAAGCCGGGAGAGGGAUGCGGAAUUCCAGGUGUAGCGGUGAAAUGCGUAGAUAUCUGGAGGAACACCCGUGGCGAAGGCGGCAUCCUGGCCCGGUCUUGACGCUGAGGAGCGAAAGCCAGGGUAGCAAACGGGAUUAGAUACCCCGGUAGUCCUGGCCCUAAACGAUGAAUGCUUGGUGUGGUGGGUAUCGAUCCCCGCCGUGCCGGAGCUAACGCGUUAAGCAUUCCGCCUGGGGAGUACGGUCGCAAGGCUGAAACUCAAAGGAAUUGACGGGGGCCCGCACAAGCGGUGGAGCAUGUGGUUUAAUUCGACGCAACGCGAAGAACCUUACCCGGGCUUGAAGCGCAAGCGACCAUCGGCGAAAGUCGACUUCCGCAAGGACGCUUGUAGAGGUGCUGCAUGGCUGUCGCCAGCUCGUGUCGUGAGAUGUUGGGUUAAGUCCCGCAACGAGCGCAACCCUUGUCUGCUGUUGCCAUCAGUUCGGCUGGGCACUCUGCGGAGACUGCCGGUGACAAACCGGAGGAAGGUGGGGAUGACGUCAAGUCAGCAUGGCCUUUAUGUCCGGGGCUACACACGUGCUACAAUGGCCGGCACAAUGCGCCGCGAUCCCGUGAGAGGGAGCCAAUCGCACAAAGCCGGUCUCAGUUCGGAUUGGAGUCUGCAACUCGACUCCAUGAAGCCGGAGUCGCUAGUAAUCCCGGAUCAGCAACGCCGGGGUGAAUACUGUUCCCGGGCCUUGUACACACCGCCCGU
rnacentral:rRNA from 1 species